rnacentral:rRNA from 1 species
GCUAGGGGUGAAAGGCCAAUCAAACUCGGAAAUAGCUGGUUCUCCGCGAAAACUAUUUAGGUAGUGCGGCAAGCGAAUACCUUGAGGGGUAGAGCACUGGAAGAAUGAGGGGGGAGCGAUCCUUACUAAAUUUUACCAAACUCCGAAUACUCAAGAGUAAUACUUGCCAGACAGACAGUAGGUGCUAAGGUCUAUUGUCGAGAGGGAAAGAGCCCAGACCGUCAAUUAAGGUCCCUAAAUUAUGGCUAAGUGGUAAAGGAAGUGAAUUGUCCAAAACAGUCAGGAGGUUGGCUUAGAAGCAGCCAUCCUUUAAAGAAAGCGUAAUAGCUCACUGAUCUAAUUAAGACGAUUUGCGCCGAAGAUGUAACGGGGCUAAAGCCAUAUACCGAAAUUACGGGUUUGUACUAAGUACAAGCGGUAGCGGAGCGUUCUGUAAGCCUGCGAAGGUGUUCCGUAAGGAAUGCUGGAGGUAUCAGAAGUGAGAAUGCUGACAUGAGUAGCGAAAAGAAGUGUGAGAGACACUUCCGCUGAAAGUCCAAGGUUUCCUGCGUAAAGCUAAUCUGCGCAGGGUUAGUCGGCCCCUAAGGUGAGGCUGAGAAGCGUAGCUGAUGGGAAGCAGGUUAAUAUUCCUGCACCAGCUAGGAGGUGACGGAUUUCAAAGAUUGUAACUGAUUAUUGGAUUUCGGUUGCAGUUCAGAAGUUCCAGGAAAGAGCCCUAGCAUAGACCGUACCCCAAACCGACACAGGUGGACAGGUAGAGAAUACCAAAGCGCUUGAGAGAACUAUGUUGAAGGAACUAGGCAAAAUGCUUGUGUAACUUCGGGAUAAGCAAGCCCCAUUUUUAGGCAACUAAAGGUGGGGGGCACAUACUAGGGGGUAGCGACUGUUUACUAAAAACACAGGGCUCUGCUAAAUUGAAAGAUGAAGUAUAGGGUCUGACGCCUGCCCGGUGCUGGAAGGUUAAGGAGAGAUGUUCACGCAUUGAACUGAAGCCCCAGUAAACGGCGGCCGUAACUAUAACGGUCCUAAGGUAGCGAAAUUCCUUGUCGGGUAAGUUCCGACCUGCACGAAUGGCG